rnacentral:rRNA from 1 species
AUUGAACGCUGGCGGCAGGCCUAACACAUGCAAGUCGAGCGGAUGAAGGGUGCUUGCUCCUGGAUUCCGCGGCGGACGGGUGAGUAAUGCCUAGGAAUCUCCCUGGUAUUGGUGGAUAACGUCUUGAAACGGGCGCUACUACCGCCUACUUCCUGCGGGAGCAAGUUGGUGAUCUUUGGACCUCACCCUCUCAGCUGAGCCUAGUUCCGACUUGUUAGUUGGUGGGGUAAGGGCCUACCAAGGCGACCAUCCGUAACUGGUCUGAGAGGAUGGUCAGGCACAGUGGAACUGAGAGACGGCACAGACACCUACGGGAGGCAGAAGUGGGGAAUAUAGGAAAAUGGGCGAAAGCCUGAACCAGCCAUGCAGCGUGUAUGAAGAAGGUCUGCGGAUUGUAAAGCACUUUAAGUUGGGAGGAAGGGCAGUAAGUUAAUAGCAUGCUGUUUUGACGUUACCAACAGAAUAAGCACCGCCUAACUCCGU